rnacentral:rRNA from 1 species
UGGGGAAUUUUGGACAAUGGGCGAAAGCCUGAUCCAGCAAUGCCGCGUGUGUGAAGAAGGCCUUCGGGUUGUAAAGCACUUUUGUCCGGAAAGAAAUCCUUGGCUCUAAUACAGUCGGGGGAUGACGGUACCGGAAGAAUAAGCACCGGCUAACUACGUGCCAGCAGCCGCGGUAAUACGUAGGGUGCAAGCGUUAAUCGGAAUUACUGGGCGUAAAGCGUGCGCAGGCGGUUUGCUAAGACCGAUGUGAAAUCCCCGGGCUCAACCUGGGAACUGCAUUGGUGACUGGCAGGCUAGAGUAUGGCAGAGGGGGGUAGAAUUCCACGUGUAGCAGUGAAAUGCGUAGAGAUGUGGAGGAAUACCGAUGGCGAAGGCAGCCCCCUGGGCCAAAUACUGACGCUCAUGCACGAAAGCGUGGGGAGCAAACAGGAUUAGAUACCCUGGUAGUCCACGCCCUAAACGAUGUCAACUAGUUGUUGGGGGAUUCAUUUCCUUAGUAACGUAGCUAACGCGUGAAGUUGACCGCCUGGGGAGUACGGUCGCAAGAUUAAAACUCAAAGGAA